rnacentral:tRNA from 1 species
GGGGGCAUAGCUCAGGGGUAGAGCAUUUGCCUGCAGAUCAAGAGGUCCCCGGUUCAAAUCCGGAUGCCCCCU